CCCAACAGUAAGAGAGGAUGCUGGCCAGUUGGGCAGCCACAGGGCUUGGUUCCGGGCACGGCUGUGAGAAAUCCUGCAGCUUCCCUGUGUCCAAGUCCUCACACUAUGGUAAAGGAGUCUGAAUGGCUGACUGGGUGUGUGUGGGCCUAAGGAGAACCCCAAGGAGGGUGCUGGAAGGAUCAGGAGCCAGGACAGACUAUAGGCCCCCAAAGACCCCUUUCCCUUCCUUCUCCGUGGAACCUUGGGCUGUGGCCGCGGUAGGCUCUGGACACGCUCAUCACGUCUCCUCACAACUUAGUCUCCUUGGGAACUUCCUCUCAGAGCCACUGGAGUGGGUUAGGGAUGGGGCAGGGGAGGGGGCCCAUCCUGGUUGUCCUGAGGCAGGAGACAGCAGGUGCCCAGGGGGCUGAUCUGGGCGUUUCCAUCUUGGAUGGGGUCCCGGGAGGAUCUCUGGGGCAGGUGGUCUCUGGAAUGUCCAUGCCCACAGGCAGCCUGGACACAGUGGCCAACUGGGGAGCCAGCUGUCCAGUCUGUCCGCUGCCAGGCCAGGCCUAUGCAGUCCCCUCCCUCCCCUGGGUCCACAAAGUCCUUUUUGUUUGCGGGGCAGGGGUGGACGUUCAGCCAUGGAGAAAUGGGUGAACUGAGCUCUGCUGAAAGCAGCAAUAACAUCUCCUUCUCUAGGGGAGAGGGGAGCCACGCUUUCUCACUCCCACCUGCCUUAAAGGCUCAGGGUGCAGGCAGCCCCUCAGUCCCCACAGAAGCUGUCCUCCUAAGGAGGCCAGUGGAGGACAAAGAUAAGGUAAGGGGGGGUGAGGGGAGCUCCCAAGAACCACCUUGGAAUGGAGCUAUUCACUUCAGGGCUAUGCAAGGCUCCGCAAAGUAGUAAAAUGUAUGGCUGCUUCCAGUUGAGAGCACUUCCCACACGGCUGGCGCUUUGCUAAGCCCUUAACUUCCUUCAUCUCUUUGAAGACAGGAGAACACAGUGGUCAAGAGCUCGAAUACAAUCAGAUAGCACCAGCUGCUACCCCAGUGAAGCAGGAGUUGUGGGACCUUGGGCAAGUUUCUCAACCUCUCUGAGCCGAAGUUUCCUCAUCUCAUGCCUCUGACCCCAAACCCCACGGUACUAAUCACACAGUCUCCUGGGGCCACCUUCAGUGCCUGGACCCGGCAGCAAGGAGCCAAGAGUAUUAAAGAGGAAGGUUUUUUUUUUUUUUUUUUUUUUGCGGUACGCGGGCGCCUCACCGUUGUGGCCUCUCCCGCCGCAGAGCACAGGCUCCGGACGCGCAAGCUCAGCGGCCACGGCCCACAGGCCCAGCCGCUCCGCAGCAGGUGGGAUCUUCCCGGGCCAGGGCACGAACCCGCGUUCCCUGCAUCGGCAGGCGGACUCUCAACAACUGCGCCACCAGGGAAGCCCAAAGAGGAAGAUUUUUCAGGCCCGGCAUCACAAUCCCAGACAGAAGCUCCCAGCCAGGGGUAAGCCCUUGGAGGGCCCAGGAUCCUGGCCUGAAGCCCCCCCAGCCCCGUUGAACAGGGGAGGGGAGGCUCCUGAGUUAGAAGCAGAACUGGGAUGGAUCACAGGGCUCGGGACUCCUGGUCCAGCGCUCCCUUCACAGAAGGCCCUCAGGGAAUCUGUGCUUUUCGGUAUACAGGCCCCAGAAGACGAGUCUUUCCCUCUUGUCUCUACCACCGGAAUACCCAGAAUAAGUAAAACCAUACAGACAGACGCAGGUUGAUGGCUGCCUGGGCAGAAAUGGGGACGGUGCUUCCUUUUGGGUUGAUAAUGUUUGGAACUAGACGGAGGUGGCAGUUGUACCCAUUGUGAAGGUACUAAACGCCACUGAAUUGUUCACUUUAAAAUGGUUGAUUUUAUGUUACGUGAAUUUCACCUCAAUUGAAAAUAAGGGUACCUGGGGAAUUCCCUGGCCAUCCAGUGGUCAGGACUCUGCGCUUUCACGGCCAGGGGCGCGGGUUCGAUCCCUGGUCGGGGGAACUAAGAUCCCGCAAGCCGCUGGGGCACGGCAAAAAAAUAAAGAAAGAAAAAAAAGAAAAAAGGGUACCUGUAGAUAAGAGAUUACAGGAAGAAGAGUGGGCAAGUGCCAAAGGGGGAAGGGAAGGAGAGCCUGAUGUGAGGGAGGAAGGAGGACGUCGUUGCAGAAACAGGGGAGUUGGAGGUGGGGGAAAGGCUUGAGGGGGGCGGUUUCCUAGGCUGCAGGGGAGGGUGGCCUGGAGGAUGCAGCUGGUUGAGGAAGCAGAGUUUGAUCCCGUGAACUUGGGAGCCCCUGCCCUUUAGAGGAAGGAGGGAGAACCAGGAGGGGGAGCGGGGCAGGCGCUUUUAGCCUGCGAGCCGUUUGCUUCCUCUCAGACUUUAGACUGGAUGCUCCCGGGGGUGGGGGCAGGGACCUCAUCUUCUUAAAUGCUUUUAAUUUUCAGAGCAGAGCAUCAUCAAGGUAGGCAGUUCCUUUAGAAAUCCUGGCACCAAUGGAAUGAAAUCGAACACAUUAAGCAGCAGGAAGAGCACCCACCACCCUCCCACAGCGGGGAAGUGAGGACGGCACUGAGCUGCGUGAUCCGUUCUGGCCUUACUUCGCUGUAGAAGACGCUGGAGAGGUCUGGGUGUGACAGGGCAGAAAUGAAAGUUGUCCUGGCAACACACAGGAUUUUUCAACAUUUCCAUCCCAGCGGCUCCCAGGCCUGAGCCCUUCUCUCGCCCAAUGCGGCCUGUCAAGAUGAGCUCUCCUGGAACCGAGGUUAGGCUGGGCCCGCCAGGCCUCUGCCCCUCCCUGUGCACGGUGGCAGAGCCAAUACAGGCUCACUGAGCAGUCUGAUGGCCCCCAGAUACAUGGAGCACAUUUCAGAGAGACGCUGAGAAGCCCCCGAUGCAGGGGUCUGCUGUCCUCCCAGGCUGGGGGCAGCCCCAGGCCUCUCUGCGAUGGAAGUGCUUUGAUUCUCAGAGCAGCCCUAGUGAAAUCAAUGCUAGCCACUCCCAUGUGAUCUC